UAGGAACGCAGUCGGAUGUUUGAUCAGUGCCUGCUUUGUUAAAAAAAAUUUGCGUUUCACAUCUAUAUUGUGGUUGAGUGUACUCUUAGAAUCGAACUAGCAUAUUCAUUUGAAGCGGUUCUAGUGCCAGAAUCAACAUAAAUUGCGCAGCGAAAGAAUCACUUAGC